rnacentral:rRNA from 1 species
UACGUAGGGUGCAAGCGUUGUCCGGAAUUAUUGGGCGUAAAGAGCUCGUAGGCGGUCUGUCGCGUCGGCUGUGAAAACCCGGAGCUCAACUCCGGGCCUGCAGUCGAUACGGGCAAACUGGAGUGUUGCAGGGGAGACUGGAAUUCCUGGUGUAGCGGUGAAAUGCGCAGAUAUCAAGGAGGAACACCGGUGGCGAAGGCGGGUCUCUGGGCCGAUACUGACGCUGAGGAGCGAAAGCGUGGGGAGC